AUUGAACGCUGGCGGCAGGCCUAACACAUGCAAGUCGAGCGAGCGGCGGACGGGUGAGUAAUGUCUGGGAAACUGCCUGAUGGAGGGGGUUAACUACUGGAAACGGUAGCUAAUACCGCAUACCAUCAGAUGUGCCCAGGUGGGAUUAGCUAGUAGGUGGGGUAACGGCUCACCUAGGCGACGAUCCCUAGCUGGUCUGAGAGGAUGACCAGCCCCACGGGAACUAGGAUACGGUCCAGACUCCUACGGAAGGCAGAAGUGGGGAAUAUUGCACAAUGGACGCAAGCCUGAUGCAGCCAUGCCGCGUGUGUGAAGAAGGCCUUCGGGUUGUAAAGCACUUUCAGCGGGGAGGCGUUACCCGAAGAAGAAGCACGGGCUAACUCCGUGCCAGCCGCCGCGGUAAUUC
rnacentral:rRNA from 1 species